AUUGAACGCUGGCGGCAGGCCUAACACAUGCAAGUCGAACGGUAACAGGAGCAGCUUGCUGCUUCGCUGACGAGUGGCGGACGGGUGAGUAAUGUCUGGGAAACUGCCUGAUGGAGGGGGAUAACUACUGGAAACGGUAGCUAAUACCGCAUAACGUCGCAAGACCGAAGAGGGGGACCUUAGGGCCUCUUGCCAUCGGAUGUGCCCAGAUGGGAUUAGCUAGUAGGUGGGGUAACGGCUCACCUAGGCGACGAUCCCUAGCUGGUCUGAGAGGAUGACCAGCCACACUGGAACUGAGACACGGUCCAGACUCCUACGGGAGGCAGCAGUGGGGAAUAUUGCACAAUGGGCGCAAGCCUGAUGCAGCCAUGCCGCGUGUAUGAAGAAGGCCUUCGGGUUGUAAAGUACUUUCAGCGGGGAGGAAGGGAGUAAAGUUAAUACCUUGGCUCAUUGACGUUACCCGCAGAAGAAGCACCGGCUAACUCCGUG
rnacentral:rRNA from 1 species